rnacentral:rRNA from 1 species
UGAUCCUGCCAGUAGUCAUAUGCUUGUCUCAAAGACUAAGCCAUGCAUGUCUAAGCAUAAAUGAAUUCAUAGUGAAGCCGCGAAUAGCUCAUUACAACAGCCAUAGUUUAUUGGAUAAUAUCCUACAUGGAUAACUGUGGUAAUUCUACAGCUAAUACACGCAUCAAAACCCAACCUAACGGUGGGGUGCUUUUGUUACUUCAAACCAAUCGGGCUUCGGCCUGAUGUCUAAGUGAACUUGAACAAUUUAGCUGAUCGCACGGUCAAAGCACCGGCGACAUAUCCUUCAAAUGUCUGCCUUAUCAACUUUCGAUUGUAGGUUAUGCGCCUACAAUGGUUGUUACGGGUAACGGAGAAUCAGGGUUUGAUUCCGGAGAGGGAGCCUGAGAAACGGCUACCACAUCCAAGGAAGGCAGCAGGCACGCAAAUUACCCACUCCCGGCUCGGGGAGGUAGUGACGAAAAAUAACAAGCUGGUCUCAAUGAGUUCCGGCAUUGUAAUGGGAACAAUUUAAAUCAUUUAUCGAGGAUCUAUUGGAGGGCAAGUC